CAGAUGUCGCUGAAGUACAAAUCCCAUCAUCCCUAGCCACUGGCCAUGCUUGCUGGGGCUGAUGGGAGUUGUAGUUCAGCAACAUCUG